GUUAAGUUAGAAAGGGCGCACGGUGGAUGCCUUGACACUAGGAGUCGAUGAAGGACGGGACUAACGCCGAUAUGCUUCGGGGAGCUGUAAGUAAGCUUUGAUCCGAAGAUUUCCGAAUGGGGAAACCCACCAUACGUAAUGGUAUGGUAUCCUUAUCUGAAUACAUAGGGUAAGGAAGACAGACCCAGGGAACUGAAACAUCUAAGUACCUGGAGGAAGAGAAAGCAAAUGCGAUUUCCUGAGUAGCGGCGAGCGAAACGGAACAUAGCCCAAACCAAGAGGCUUGCCUCUUGGGGUUGUAGGACAUUCUAUACGGAGUUACAAAGGAACGAGGUAGACGAAGCGACCUGGAAAGGUCCGUCGUAGAGGGUAACAACCCCGUAGUCGAAACUUCGUUCUCUCUUGAAUGUAUCCUGAGUACGGCGGAACACGUGAAAUUCCGUCGGAAUCUGGGAGGACCAUCUCCCAAGGCUAAAUACUCCCUAGUGAUCGAUAGUGAACCAGUACCGUGAGGGAAAGGUGAAAAGCACCCCGGAAGGGGAGUGAAAGAGAUCCUGAAACCGUGUGCCUACAAAUAGUCAGAGCCCGUUAACGGGUGAUGGCGUGCCUUUUGUAGAAUGAACCGGCGAGUUACGAUCCCGUGCGAGGUUAAGCUGAAGAGGCGGAGCCGCAGCGAAAGCGAGUCUGAAUAGGGCGUUUAGUACGUGGUCGUAGACCCGAAACCAGGUGAUCUACCCAUGUCCAGGGUGAAGUUCAGGUAACACUGAAUGGAGGCCCGAACCCACGCACGUUGAAAAGUGCGGGGAUGAGGUGUGGGUAGCGGAGAAAUUCCAAUCGAACCUGGAGAUAGCUGGUUCUCCCCGAAAUAGCUUUAGGGCUAGCCUUAAGUGUAAGAGUCUUGGAGGUAGAGCACUGAUUGGACUAGGGGUCCUCAUCGGAUUACCGAAUUCAGUCAAACUCCGAAUGCCAAUGACUUAUCCUUAGGAGUCAGACUGCGAGUGAUAAGAUCCGUAGUCAAAAGGGAAACAGCCCAGACCGCCAGCUAAGGUCCCAAAGUGUGUAUUAAGUGGAAAAGGAUGUGGAGUUGCUUAGACAACUAGGAUGUUGGCUUAGAAGCAGCCACCAUUUAAAGAGUGCGUAAUAGCUCACUAGUCGAGUGACUCUGCGCCGAAAAUGUACCGGGGCUAAAUACACCACCGAAGCUGCGGAUUGAUACCGAAUGGUAUCAGUGGUAGGGGAGCGUUCUAAGGACAGUGAAGUCAGACCGGAAGGACUGGUGGAGUGCUUAGAAGUGAGAAUGCCGGUAUGAGUAGCGAAAGACGGGUGAGAAUCCCGUCCACCGAAUGCCUAAGGUUUCCUGAGGAAGGCUCGUCCGCUCAGGGUUAGUCAGGACCUAAGCCGAGGCCGACAGGCGUAGGCGAUGGACAACAGGUUGAUAUUCCUGUACCACCUCUUUAUCGUUUGAGCAAUGGAGGGACGCAGAAGGAUAGAAGAAGCGUGCGAUUGGUUGUGCACGUCCAAGCAGUUAGGCUGAUAAGUAGGCAAAUCCGCUUAUCGUAAAGGCUGAGCUGUGAUGGGGAAGCUCCUUAUGGAGCGAAGUCUUUGAUUCCCCGCUGCCAAGAAAAGCUUCUAGCGAGAUAAAAGGUGCCUGUACCGCAAACCGACACAGGUAGGCGAGGAGAGAAUCCUAAGGUGUGCGAGAGAACUCUGGUUAAGGAACUCGGCAAAAUGACCCCGUAACUUCGGGAGAAGGGGUGCUUUCUUAACGGAAAGCCGCAGUGAAUAGGCCCAAGCGACUGUUUAGCAAAAACACAGCUCUCUGCGAAGCCGUAAGGCGAAGUAUAGGGGGUGACACCUGCCCGGUGCUGGAAGGUUAAGGAGAGGGGUUAGCGUAAGCGAAGCUCUGAACUGAAGCCCCAGUAAACGGCGGCCGUAACUAUAACGGUCCUAAGGUAGCGAAAUUCCUUGUCGGGUAAGUUCCGACCCGCACGAAAGGUGUAACGAUUUGGGCACUGUCUCAACCAGAGACUCGGUGAAAUUAUAGUACCUGUGAAGAUGCAGGUUACCCGCGACAGGACGGAAAGACCCCGUGGAGCUUUACUGUAGCCUGAUAUUGAAUUUUGGUACAGUUUGUACAGGAUAGGCGGGAGCCUUUGAAACCGGAGCGCUAGCUUCGGUGGAGGCGCUGGUGGGAUACCGCCCUGACUGUAUUGAAAUUCUAACCUACGGGUCUUAUCGACCCGGGAGACAGUGUCAGGUGGGCAGUUUGACUGGGGCGGUCGCCUCCUAAAGUGUAACGGAGGCGCCCAAAGGUUCCCUCAGAAUGGUUGGAAAUCAUUCGUAGAGUGCAAAGGCAUAAGGGAGCUUGACUGCGAGACCUACAAGUCGAGCAGGGACGAAAGUCGGGCUUAGUGAUCCGGUGGUUCCGCAUGGAAGGGCCAUCGCUCAACGGAUAAAAGCUACCCCGGGGAUAACAGGCUUAUCUCCCCCAAGAGUCCACAUCGACGGGGAGGUUUGGCACCUCGAUGUCGGCUCAUCGCAUCCUGGGGCUGUAGUCGGUCCCAAGGGUUGGGCUGUUCGCCCAUUAAAGCGGUACGCGAGCUGGGUUCAGAACGUCGUGAGACAGUUCGGUCCCUAUCCGUCGUGGGCGUAGGAAAUUUGAGAGGAGCUGUCCUUAGUACGAGAGGACCGGGAUGGACGCACCGCUGGUGUACCAGUUGUUCUGCCAAGGGCAUAGCUGGGUAGCUAUGUGCGGAAGGGAUAAGUGCUGAAAGCAUCUAAGCAUGAAGCCCCCCUCAAGAUGAGAUUUCCCAUAGCGUAAGCUAGUAAGAUCCCUGAAAGAUGAUCAGGUUGAUAGGUUCGAGGUGGAAGCAUGGUGACAUGUGGAGCUGACGAAUACUAAUAGAUCGAGGACUUAAC
rnacentral:rRNA from 1 species